rnacentral:rRNA from 1 species
GCAUAUCAAUAAGCGGAGGGAAAAGAAACCAACCGGGAUUGCCUCAGUAACGGCGAGUGAAGCGGCAAGAGCUCAAAUUUGAAAUCUGGCCCCUCCGGGGUCCGAGUUGUAAUUUGCAGAGGAUGCUUCGGGUGCGGCCCCUGUCUAAGUGCCCUGGAACGGGCCGUCAGAGAGGGUGAGAAUCCCGUCUUGGGCAGGGUGCCCGUGCCCGUGUGAAGCUCCUUCGACGAGUCGAGUUGUUUGGGAAUGCAGCUCUAAAUGGGUGGUAAAUUUCAUCUAAAGCUAAAUACCGGCCGGAGACCGAUAGCGCACAAGUAGAGUGAUCGAAAGAUGAAAAGCACUUUGAAAAGAGAGUUAAACAGCACGUGAAAUUGUUGAAAGGGAAGCGCUUGCGACCAGACUCGGCCCCGGGGUUCAGCCAGCACUCGUGCUGGUGUACUUCCCCGGGGGCGGGCCAGCGUCGGUUUGGGCGGCCGGUCAAAGGCCCCAGGAAUGUGUCGCCCUCCGGGGCGUCUUAUAGCCUGGGGUGCAAUGCGGCCAGCCCGGACCGAGGAACGCGCUUCGGCACGGACGCUGGCGUAAUGGUCGCAAACGACCCGUCUUGAAACACGGACCAAGGAGUCUAACAUCUACGCGAGUGUUCGGGUGUCAAACCCGUACGCGCAGUGAAAGCGAACGGAGGUGGGAGCCCCGCAAGGGGCGCACCAUCGACCGAUCCUGAUGUCUUCGGAUGGAUUUGAGUAAGAGCGUAGCUGUGGGGACCCGAAAGAUGGUGAACUAUGCCUGAAUAGGGCGAAGCCAGAGGAAACUCUGGUGGAGGCUCGCAGCGGUUCUGACGUGCAAAUCGAUCGUCAAAUUUGGGUAUAGGGGCGAAAGACUAAUGGAACCAUCUGGUAGCUGGUUCCUGCCGA